rnacentral:rRNA from 1 species
GAUGAACGCUGGCGGCGUGCCUAAUACAUGCAAGUCGAGCGAACGGACGAGAAGCUUGCUUCUCUGAUAUUAGCGGCGGACGGGUGAGUAACACGUGGAUAACCUACCUAUAAGACUGGGAUAACUUCGGGAAACCGGAGCUAAUACCGGAUAAUAAUUUUAACCGUAUGGUUCAAAAGUAAAAGAUGGACUUGCUGUAACUUAUGAAUGUAUCCGCGUUGCAUUAGCUAGUUGGUAAGGAAACGGCUUACAAAGGCAAGGAUGCAAACCGAACCUGGAGGGGUGAUCGCCAAAAUGGGAACGGGGACACGGUCAAGACUCCUACGGGAGGCAGCGGAAGGGAAUCUUCCGCAAUGGGCGAAAGCCUGACGGAGCAACGCGGCGGGGUGAAUGAAGUUCUUCGGAUCUUAAAACUCUGUUAUUAGGGAAGACCAUAUGUGUAAGUAACUGUGCACAUCUUGACGGUACCUAAUCAGAAAGCCACGGCUAACUACGUG